UAGAAGCAGUGGAGACGUUGGUGCUUUUUUUGGAAAAAGCAGUGGAGAGAUUUUUAAAAUACAAUUAUUUUUGAAAUUACUUUAUUCUUUUGGCUACAAUAUUAUUAUUUUAAAAAUAAUAAAAAAAAUGCUG
rnacentral:ribozyme from 1 species